rnacentral:rRNA from 1 species
UUGAAAGAUGGUUUCGGCUAUCGCUUACAGAUGGGCCCGCGGUGCAUUAGCUAGUUGGUAGGGUAAUGGCCUACCAAGGCAACGAUGCAUAGCCGACCUGAGAGGGUGAUCGGCCACACUGGGACUGAGACACGGCCCAGACUCCUACGGGAGGCAGCAGUAGGGAAUCUUCCGCAAUGGACGAAAGUCUGACGGAGCAACGCCGCGUGUAUGAAGAAGGUUUUCGGAUCGUAAAGUACUGUUGUUAGAGAAGAACAAGGAUAAGAGUAACUGCUUGUCCCUUGACGGUAUCUAACCAGAAAGCCACGGCUAACUACGUGCCAGCAGCCGCGGUAAUACGUAGGUGGCAAGCGUUGUCCGGAUUUAUUGGGCGUAAAGCGCGCGCAGGCGGUCUUUUAAGUCUGAUGUGAAAGCCCCCGGCUUAACCGGGGAGGGUCAUUGGAAACUGGAAGACUGGAGUGCAGAAGAGGAGAGUGGAAUUCCACGUGUAGCGGUGAAAUGCGUAGAUAUGUGGAGGAACACCAGUGGCGAAGGCGACUCUCUGGU